UCCCCACUCACGGUUUGGGUGGGCCCAGACCAGGAAGAUGCCACUGGAGGCGCCUCAUCGGCCAGCCCUGCCCGCCCCAUCACCUCCAGAACCUGGGUCUAAAGGCUGUGGACGCCAGCCCCGCGCCGGCCUCCUCCACACUCCGGGCCGGCGGUCCUCAGUCCCGAUACUGAGUUUAACCAACGAAAUCAAUGAGAAAGUAGAGAAGAAUGCAUAAAAGGAAAGAAAAAGGUAACCAAGCUCGACAUGAAAAUAGCCACUAACGGCAAGAAGACAGUAAUGCAAACAUAUAGGAACAGCUAAAGAUGUGCCACUCCGAGAUAAUGUCAAUCUGUAGGAUGGGAGUAAUUUGAGAAACACCAGGAACUCCCGAGAUUGUCAGAGCUAAGUGGACAGCAAUACAGUUUCCAGACUCGGGUCAACAAGUUUGAUGGCUCUGCAGGUUUCUUUGUUUCCCCACCCCCACCCCCCACUUUUCCUCCAGCCCCUUUUUAAAGCCCUCCCUUCAGUCUCUUGGACACAGUCUCCAAAUUGGCUCCCAGAGACUGGUCGCCAGGCCUGGAAAUAAAGCCGUUGCCACCUAAA